rnacentral:rRNA from 1 species
AAGAAUUUUAACAUCUUUGGCUAUUUUCUCAAACACCUUUACUACUUGGAUAACCGUAGUAAUUCUAGAGCUAAUACAUGCAUCACCCUCGGUGUCCAUUUUCAGCAUUCUUUGAACUUAACACUUGUUGCGUCUAAUGUAGCAAUAUGUAUUAUUUA